GGACUAGAUCUGUGAUUUCAUUGGUAGAAAAAACUUCCAGUGAGAAAACUCUUAUCUUUCCCAGGGAGGAAAUCCCCUCAAAAGAUCAACACCUGCACAACUUAUAGUCUAGGAUAGUUGCUGGGUCACUGAGAAUUGAAAUGAUUUAGCCAUGGUCAGGCAUCCACUAUGUUAUCAGAGGAAGACCUACUGACUUUAAGGAUAGUUUUUUCUUGUACAAUAUUGCUUCUUCAUUCCCUCUCCUUCCACUAUGAAUGAAUAUUUGCUUUCUGGUUUGUAAGUCUGUGUCUCCUGAGUUUUCUUUGUCUCAAACCAUUUCUGCUUGAACUUAUAGGAUAGACUUUCUGAACAUGCCAUGCCAAAUACAGGAACCUAGCACAGAGGCAGAAGUUGAGAACCCUAAUCACUUGGAUGAGAUGAAAGACCAGAACCUUCUUUUGGUGGAUUUACCUCCAGGACAUCAAGAACACAAGCAAGUAAAAGACAAGUUUUGUCAGACCUAUGCUAACUUCACAAUAAAGAAGGCAUCAAGAUCUGCUUUGCUGAAGUAUGUUGCCCAGCAAGCAUCAAACUCUUCAUUUGUCUCAUGGGACCCAUGGGAAUAGCAGCAAACUGACUGGAUAGUGAUGGCAGCACUAGAGGAAGAGGAUGACGAGGAGGAGGGGGCUGCAGUCCCUAGCUUCGGUAGCAGGACCUAUACCGAGGCUCCAGACCAUCAACUUCUAACUGACUGCUCAGGCUGCAUUCCCACCUCCAACCCAGUCAAAGAUUUUUAGCCCACUGGACCUGGCAUCAGUCAGGUUCCAAAGUCUGAUGCCUUGAACAUGAUCCAGUGAGGGAGGGACAGCUCUAUGGCCCUUAUCAGCAGGAAGCAAUUUCAGAAGCUGAGGCUUUUGCCCCUUACCCCAAAAGAUUCUGGGUCCCAUUUGUUUGAAAGGGGAAUGAUGGGGUGAUGAGACCUGGACCUAAAAAAAGACCAUGUCUUUGAAAGCAACUUAGUUGCUGAAUUUUCCCACAGAUUUCAGCAUCUGAGAUCACUGGCCUCAUCCUUGAGGCAUCUGACCCAGCCCAGCCCAGACCAGACCAUCUAAAUACUCAACAGUCCUUUCACAGUAUCUCUUGGCCCACCAGGAACCACUCAAUACUCCUUUCACAGUCCUUUGGACCCACCCCAGACCUCUUAAGUUUUUUCACUCAUACCUCACCCUCCCCAGGCUAUUUACUACUCCUUAAUCCCAUCCAGAUCUUUUUACUGUUCUUUUUUUUUAAUAUAUAAAUAUCAAUCUCACCCCUAUCAAGGCAUAGAUUCAAUAUGAAUCUCACCUGAACUAUUGAUUUUACAAUAAAUCUUGC